AGGUAUUAUUCGACGAGUAAGUGAUACGAUAGGGUUACGGUCCGCACUCAACUUGCAGAUGGCGUUGAUGGGACUCCACACCCGUUUGCCUGUUUUCGCUGAGAUUCUUAAGAUUUGCUUUAUUAGAUGAGGAAGCUUGCGUUGACGGAGUCUACUCUUCUCUUUAUGCUUCCUUCUUGUUUUGAUUUUGUACGAUGAACAAUGUCAAACUUGCUACCUAUAUAUAUGUGUGUGUGUAUAUAUGUGAAAUUCUGUCAAAUUGAAUGGUUUCAAGAAAAACAGAAAAAACAGGGGCUAUAUAGACUCUUUGCCGU